rnacentral:rRNA from 1 species
UACGGAGGGUGCAAGCGUUGUCCGGAAUCACUGGGCGUAAAGGGCGCGUAGGCGGCUCAUGAAGGCUGUGGUGAAAGUCCGGGGCUCAACCUCGGAUCGGCCGGUGGCGACUCGUGGGCUGGAGCACUGUAGAGGCGGGUGGAAUUCCGGGUGUAGCGGUGGAAUGGCGUAGAGAUCCGGAAGAACACCAGUGGCGAAGGCG